CUGUUAACAUCUGUAAAUGUAUGGAUAUUUUGGAGUGUUUCAUUUUGCCAAAUUAGUGUCACAUCAGUGUGGCGAAUGAAUUUGGUUGAGGAGAACUGAAAUUUGCGCCACUCACAUGCUUUGGCCAAUGAUAAUGCAGAAAUAUUUACUUGUAUUUGCCAAGUUGGAUACAGAGGAAUUUGACCUUUUAGAAAAAGAUAAUGAAAAUAUUUGGAUGAGUUUUAUUGUGGACAACCAAUUGAUUGUCGAUUGACAGUGCGAGAAGGCGUUGACCUUUACAACUGGAUGCACAUACAAAACUAGCUUUAUAAGGCAAUACAAUGCAUUUUUAUUCAUGUGGAACAAAGCUUGAAGGUAUAACCUUUCUCAACAGAAAAACCUUAGUGUUCACUGCCUGCAUAAGAAUUCUUUUAACACUUUAUAGGACACAUGACUAGUAAUUUAAAUUAAAAAAAAACUUAUUUUGGGUCAUGUAGGUCACCCUUUAUAUGUAUGUGUGUGGGUGUAUAUACAGUGCUGGCCAAAAGUAUUGGCACCCAGAAAAUGAUUGCAAUUAUAAAAGCUUUGGUAGUAAUAUCUUCAUUUAUUUGCUUGCAAUGAAAACCACAAAAGAGAAUGGGGAAAAAAAUAAAAUCAUUAUCAUUUUGACCUUUGAAAAAUCAUGUGAUGCUUCUCUCAUUUGUGUAAUUCACAGUUCCUGUUAAGUAUCUGUGGCACAUAACAGGUGGUGGCAAUAACGAAAACACACUCACAGCCAGUUAAAAUGGAUUAAAGUUGACUUAACCGCUGUCCUCUGUUCUUCUGUGUACCACAUUGAGCAUGGAGAAAGGAAGACCAAGGAACUGUCUCGGGACUUGAAAAGCAAAAUUUGUCAUCAAUAAGUGUAAAGCCCAUGGCACUGUGGCUAACAUCCGUAGAUGUUGACGGAAAAAGAAAAAUAACGAGAGAUUUCAACAAAAUAAAAAAGAGAAGAUUGGUGGAUAAAGAACCUCGACUAACAUCAAAACAAGUUCAAGCUGUCCUGCAGUCUGAGGGUACAACAGUGUCAACCCGUAUUAUCUGUCGGCAUCUGAAUGAAAAGGGACUAUGGUAGAAUACCCAGGAAGACCCCACUUCUGACCCAGAGACAUAAAAAAGCCAGGCUGGAGUUUUCAAAACUUAUCUGAGAAAGCCAAAAACGUUUUGGAAGAAUGUUCUCUGGUCAGAUGAGACAAAAGUACAGUUUUUUGGGAAAAGCAUCAACAUAGACUUUACAGGGGAAAAAAAUGAGGCCUUGAAAGAAAAGAA